UACGUAGGGUGCGAGCGUUAAUCGGAAUUACUGGGCGUAAAGCGUGCGCAGGCGGUUCGUUGUGUCGGUGGUGAAAUCCCCGGGCUUAACCUGGGAAUGGCCAUGGAAACUGGCGAACUGGAGUGUGGCAGAGGGGUGGGAAUUCCGCGUGUAGCAGUGAAAUGCGUAGAGAUGCGGAGGAACACCGAUGGCGAAGGCAGCCUGGCUAGCACUGACGCUCAGGCACGAAGCGUGGAGCAACAGG
rnacentral:rRNA from 1 species